GUGAGGAAUAUUGGACAAUGGGCGCAAGCCUGAUCCAGCCAUGCCGCGUGCAGGAAGACGCAUCUAUGGUGUGUAAACUGCUUUUGUACGGGAAGAAACACUCCCUCGUGAGGGAGCUUGACGGUACCGUAAGAAUAAGGAUCGGCUAACUCCGUGCCAGCAGCCGCGGUAAUACGGAGGAUCCAAGCGUUAUCCGGAAUCAUUGGGUUUAAAGGGUCCGUAGGCGGUUUAAUAAGUCAGUGGUGAAAGCCCGUCGCUCAACGAUGGAACGGCCAUUGAUACUGUUAGACUUGAAUUACAAGGAAGUAACUAGAAUAUGUAGUGUAGCGGUGAAAUGCUUAGAUAUUACAUGGAAUACCAAUUGCGAAGGCAGGUUACUACUUGUGGAUUGACGCUGAUGGACGAAAGCGUGGGGAGCGAACAGGAUUAGAUACCCCGGUAGUCC
rnacentral:rRNA from 1 species